rnacentral:rRNA from 1 species
UGGAAGUAUUAAAGCGUAACAAGGUUUCCGUAGGUGAACCUGCGGAAGGAUCAUUA